GAUGAACGCUGGCGGCGUGCCUAAUACAUGCAAGUCGAGCGAACGGACGAGAAGCUUGCUUCUCUGAUGUUAGCGGCGGACGGGUGAGUAACACGUGGAUAACCUACCUAUAAGACUGGGAUAACUUCGGGAAACCGGAGCUAAUACCGGAUGAUAUUUUGAACCGCAUGGUUCAAAAGUGAAAGACGGUCUUGCUGUCACUUAUAGAUGGAUCCGCGCUGCAUUAGCUAGUUGGUAAGGUAACGGCUUACCAAGGCAACGAUGCAUAGCCGACCUGAGAGGGUGAGCGGCCACACUGGAACUGAGACACGGUCCAGACUCCUACGGGAGGCAGCAGUAGGGAAUCUUCCGCAAUGGGCGAAAGCCUGACGGAGCAACGCCGCGUGAGUGAUGAAGGUCUUCGGAUCGUAAAACUCUGUUAUUAGGGAAGAACAUAUGUGUAAGUAACUGUGCACAUCGUGACGGUACCUAAUCAGAAAGCCACGGCUAACUACG
rnacentral:rRNA from 1 species